rnacentral:rRNA from 1 species
CAUAGCCGCGGUAAUACAGAGGGUGCGAGCGUUAAUCGGAUUUACUGGGCGUAAAGCGUGCGUAGGCGGCUUCUUAAGUCGGAUGUGAAAUCCCUGAGCUUAACUUAGGAAUUGCAUUCGAUACUGGGAAGCUAGAGUAUGGGAGAGGAUGGUAGAAUUCCAGGUGUAGCGGUGAAAUGCGUAGAGAUCUGGAGGAAUACCGAUGGCGAAGGCAGCCAUCUGGCCUAAUACUGACGCUGAGGUACGAAAGCAUGGGGAGCAAACAGGAUUAGAUACCCCAGUAGUCCCUGUCUCUUAUACA